CGCUGGCGGCGUGCCUAAUACAUACAAGUCGAACGGUCUUUCUAUGGAAGCUUGCUUCCACUGAGAAGAUAGUGGCGAACGGGUGAGUAACACGUGGGUAACCUGCCCAUAAGAGGGGGGAUAACAUCCGGAAACGGGUGCUAAUACCGCAUAGUUUUCUUGGUCGCAUGAUCGGGAAAGGAAAGACGGCCUUUGUGCUGUCGCUUAUGGAUGGACCCGCGGCGUAUUAGUUAGUUGGUGAGGUAACGGCUCACCAAGACGAUGAUACGUAGCCGACCUGAGAGGUGAUCGGCCACAUUGGGACUGAGACACGGCCCAAACUCCUACGGGAGGCAGCAGUAGGGAAUCUUCCGCAAUGGACGAAAGUCUGACGGAGCAACGCCGCGUGAGUGAAAGAAGGUUUUCGGAUCGUAAAACUCUGUUGUCAGAGAAGAACAAGUUGGAGAGUAACUGCUCCAGCCUUGACGGUAUCUGACCAGAAAGCCACGGCUAACUACGUGCCAGCCGCCGC
rnacentral:rRNA from 1 species